AGAAACUUAGGAUAGCAUAGUCCAAGGGCCUUCAAAGCCCUCAGCAGGAGUUCAAAUCUCCUAGUUUCUG
rnacentral:tRNA from 1 species